rnacentral:rRNA from 1 species
AGAGUUUGAUCCUGGCUCAGAAUGAACGCUGGCGGCGCGCCUAAUACAUGCAAGUCGAGCGAGAAGACGUAGCAAUACGUUUGUAAAGCGGCGAACGGGUGAGGAAUACAUGGGUAACCUACCCUCGAGUGGGGAAUAACUAGCCGAAAGGUUAGCUAAUACCGCGUACGCUUCUUGGACUUCGGUUCAGGGAGGAAAGCGAUACCGUGGGUAUCGCGCUCUUGGAUGGGCUCAUGUCCUAUCAGCUUGUUGGUGAGGUAACGGCUCACCAAGGCUUCGACGGGUAGCUGGUCUGAUAGGACGAUCAGCCACACUGGCACUGCGACACGGGCCAGACUCCUACGGGAGGCAGCAGUAAGGAAUAUUGCGCAAUGGGCGAAAGCCUGACGCAGCGACGCCGCGUGGGGGAUGAAGGUCUUCGGAUUGUAAACCCCUUUCGGGAGGGAAGAUGGAAUGGGGUAACCCAUUCGGACGGUACCUCCAGAAGCAGCCACGGCUAACUUCGUGCCAGCAGCCGCGGUAAUAC